rnacentral:rRNA from 1 species
ACAACAGCCACAGAUCAGACAUGGCGAACAGCUGAAUUUAAGCAUCUCACUGACGGUAGAUAAAGUAACUAACCAGGAUUCCCUCAGUAAUGGCAAGUGUAGCGCAUAAUCCACAUUCUGCGGAGGAUACAGAAAAUGUAGAUUUCAGAAGGCUGACUUCUCAGCAUCACUCAGGGGGCCCUAAUCCUGCUGUUUGGGGCCCACCACGUGGAUGGUUUUAGGCUGGUAGCUGUCCCUGGCACACCAGGAUUGUUUCUUCUCUGAAUCAGAUGCUUGGGAAUGCAACCCAAGUGGUUGGUAGACUUCACCUAAGCCUAAAAUGGCCAACAAGUACCAUAAAGGAAAUUUGAAAUGUACUUUUAAGAGAGAAUACAAGAAGGGAUUGGAACCAUCAAGAGGUAAAUAGGUGGUGAUUCAACACAGUGGGCAAGUCGGUCACCCGGAACAGCGGAUCCCCUUGUGUGACCACCACCCAGGCACAUCUGGCCCCUGCAUUGUGCAUUUCCUCUGUGGUACACUACUACUAGCUCCAGGUCAGCUGGGAAUGCCCCAGGGGGCAGGUGGCUCUCCGCUCUGGCAGAGAGUAUUGGACCUCCUUGGCUACCAUAUUGCCAUGUCUACAGGGAGAUUGACCACUGGCCGAGCUUCCUGCAGCAACCAUCCCAGCAACUCUUGGGUUGCACCGGGGCAGAGACUGGAGAGGGGACCCUACUACCAGUGUGACAGUCAACUGGCAAGGUCUGUUCUCAGUUCAUCCUGAUCACCUCAGGGAGGCCCACAAUGCAUACAGUAAUGUCGGUUAUCCACCAGACAAAUCUUGAAAAACAGACCAUGCUUUCUACCACGUACAUGAGUUAGGGACCAAACAGAGCCAUGUGGCACAAUGAAAGUGAGUAAGAGACACGCCAGUUGAGGUGCGAUCUUGGGAUGCUGUGAACACCACCACCACCAUCUCUCAACUCCUAUGUUGGGGAGGUGGGGUAUAAAUGUUUGCGAUAGUUCCUGAAAGAUGCAGUACUAUGCCUGGGCAGGACAUAGCCAGGGGAACUGUAGCAGUCAUCUGACCAGGGUGUAGGGGCAGAGGAGGGAUCAAACAAUCUAGAAGCUGGUUCCCUCUGAAGUUUCCCUCAGGAGAGCUUGGAUACCCCAGUUUAAUCUGGUGAGACAAAUGAUUAGAGGUCUGGGCCAAAACGGUUUAAAUCUAUUCUCAGACUUUAUAAGGGUGAGGAUCCCGGCUCGCUGGCAUGAAGCUGGGCAUAGAAUUCCAGUGGGCAGUGGCCCACUUUUGGUAUGCAGAACUGGUGCAGCAGGAUGAACUAGACACCAGGUUAAGGCAAACAAUGAUGUCACUCAUCAGGCCCCAAAAACAGUGUGUGUCAGAACAGUUCACCUGCCAAAUCUACUAGCACUUGCAACGGAUGGUGCUGGAGCAUCAGGCUCAUACCCAGCCACUGCUGUUUCUUAGAGCCACAGGGGUAAAGCCACAAUGUGCGUGGGUUAAGCUGCCACCAGUUCAGAUCUUGUUGGUAGUAGUGAAUAUUCAAACUAGAACUUUGAAGGCCGUAGUGGAGGAGGGUGCCAUGUAACCAGCUGUUGGACAUGGGUCAUUUGUUCUUAAGAGAUGGGCCUGCACUGUUCGGAAGGGACAGGCAAUGGCCUCUGUUGCCCUCAGCCGAUUGAAAAGGAGUUGAGUUCACAUCACUGAACCCAGUGUGGCGUUGACUGGCACCCUUGCAGUGUACUUUGCAAUAACACAAACGUUCCCGGACAAUCUGGCCUGCACCCUGGGGAUAGUUUUAUUUUCUUUGUGAAGCACAGGGCACGCUGGAAUGUAUUUGUCCCAAGAGAGGAGACUGAGCCUUGGAAAUAAUUAUGGUUUGGGUGGUUUGGGAAGUGAGCUCUUGCAGGUUCUUUUUAAUCCAGGGGAGAUGGUGUAAAUCUCACAGAGGCCCAACCCAUAUACACAGCAGGGAACACACAUAUAAGGGACAUUGUCAAGUCAGACCCAUAACUUCAGGAUGGGAAUUGUGUCUAGGGGCUGGAUAGGUCAGGCUGGUGCAUGUUGAGGGGCUGGCCAUCACCAUAGCUGGAUGAGGAAUUUCCAUCCAGGGUCCUGCCAACUCUGGAUGGAGCCGGGCCCUUCCUGUGGCCUGCCCCAGCUGGGGUGGUAGCCUCUCUCCAUUCUGCUAUCAGUGUUCAGGACAGCCUUCUGCCUCAGCCUACACCUAUCAGCUGAUUUUGAACUAGUGCAGAUACGGGCAAUCCAACCAUUUAAUUGGAACAACGCAUCACAAAGGCUGCCAGUGGGUGUUGACACAAUGUGAUUUCUGCUCAGUGCUCUGAAUGUCAACGUAAAAAGAUUCAAUAUAGAGUGUGUAAAUGGCAGGAGUAACUAUGACUCACUUAAGAUGGCCAAAUGCUAUGUCAUAUCACUUGGGCACGCAUGAAUGGAUGAACCGGAUUCCCACUAUCCGAACCUACUAAUAAACCAUAGAAAAGAGAAUGGGCUUGAAUGAAUCCAGAGGGAUAGGAGACCCUAUUGAGCUUGACUCUAGUCUGUCACUGUGAGAGGACAUGAGAGGUGUAGGACAGGUGGGAGGACCUCAGGUCAUCAGUGAAAUACUGCUACUGUUAUCAUUUUGUAACUUGCCAUGUGAGGUGGGAGGUGCAAGCCCCAUGGGGCUGUCACUUCUGGCUCCAAGCACCCGGCUCCAGACAGGCAUGGCCUGUUCCGGUCAUUGGCAGGUAGGGAGCUUAAAUGGGGUAGUACACCUGUACUAUGAUAAAGCAGGUGUCCUCAGGCAAGCUCAGGAAGGACACACAUAUCCAAUAGAGACCAAAGGCAAAAACUUGCUACAUCUCAAGUGUAUGUAUGUAGACAGACUGUGGAAGUGGGGCCUCAAGUUCCUUCUGAGUUUUUGUUUCCUUCAGGAGGUGCCUGACAAUUACCACAUGGGUAACUGCCUUGUUUCGCAAGAAGCAUUCAUAUUGACUUUGCAUUUUGAUCAUUCCAUGUUGGCUCUUCCUAUCAUUGUGAGGCAGAAUUCAGUAAACAUUAGCUUGUUCACCACUCAUAGGGAACAUGAGCUGAGUUGAGACCAUUGUGUGACAGGUUAUUUUUACCCUACUGAUGAUGUGUUGUUGCAAUAGUAAUCAUGAUCAGCAUGAGAGGAACCGUAUGUUUAUACAUUUGGUGUAUGUGUUUGGCUGAGGAGCUAAUGGGACAAUGCUGUCAUCUGUGGGAUUUUGACUGAAUACCUCUAUAUCAGAAUCCACCUAACAGCUAAUGUUAACACAGCACUGUUGAGCCUCAAUUGGCCUAGAGUAGCUAGUCUUUGGGCCGGUGCAUAGUGUUGUUGCUUGCCUAAGGACUCAAGUGUGGACAGAAAGGGGCAACCUCUCUCACCCAUAAUGCACCACAGGUUCUUGGUCAAUAUGGUGCAUUAUUGUUUGCAGACAACAUGAUUCUGGGUCAGGGUUUCGAAAGUAGCAGAGCAGCUACCUCACUGCAAUCUAUUGCAAGUCAUCCUCUGAGCCAAGGUUUUGUAAAAGGCACUGUCUC